rnacentral:tRNA from 1 species
GGGGCUGUAGCUCAGUGGUACAGCGCUUGCCUUGCAUGCAGGAGACCUGGGUUUGAUCCCCAGCACCACA